UGCUAACAGGGGAAGAGGGAGGUGGCACUUCCACAGAUGUGGCAGAUUUUGCUGGAGAAAACGAUGGCACUGGUGAAGGGGUUGGUGCGGCAGCCUCUGUCAAGAUGAUCUCUUCUCGGACUUCUGCUGUGGAUAGAGAUAGGGACAACAAUCCCUGGUGGGACAGCUUACAUUGGGUGAUGAGUUUCCGGUGCUCAUCGCGAGAGUCUUCCAUGGUGUAAAGGGUUUGCUUGGUGAUGCUGUUCAGGUCCACGUUCCUCCAGUCUUCCAGCAUUUGGAACGUGAUGUCUGCACUGUGGAUCACUGUUCGAGAUGCCUAUAAUCCAAUCCAAUCAACUCGUUAGCUCAUGGGUUGUUAAAACCCUUUCACUGUAUUUCCUUUUAUGCCUUGUUAAUGCAUCUGCUUAUGGUAUUUUGCAAACUACCCUGAAAUUCCGGGAAAUUCAAUUUCAGGAAAGCACCAGAAGACUCUGUAACUCAGAAGACGCAGACACUGUUUUCUCCUAUGGUUCUUUCCACACAUCUCUUUUUCUCUACAAGAAACUGCGAGGGUGGGCUAGGCCAGACCAAACCCUGCUGUUUCCAGUCCCUUUGGUCUUGACCCCAUGGAACAAUGGGAUGAAGCCCAGAGAUCUGUCAGCUUUCUGAUGUAAGCCUGUGGGAUGGGAGCUCUGUGCUGAAUUAUCCUUGUGUCUCCAGUACCUGAGAAGCUGCAGGCUGGGAUUUAGAAGUGUUCUUGCUACCCCUGGGCCUAACUUAAUCCCAGAAAUUUCAAAGUGUGUAUUUUUCAUAUAAAUACAUUCUGAAGCAGUUUAUGCUCUAGUUUUCUGUUUUUGCUUUUUUAAAAUGUUGCUAUAAUGAUUAAAACAUACAUGAAUAAUUAGGUUGGAGGAAAAGGGAAACUAUACCAUACAUCUCAGUAGUUUGUUAGUGGAUGGAGGGAUGUGUAUAGUGUGUGAAUAAUUAUAUAUAUGUAUUUUUUUUUCUUUAAAGCUGUGGCUUUUUCAUGGAACCCUUAUUAGUGAACUUAAAUUUGCAAGUUGGAACAAUACUUGGAACAAUAUCAUCAAGUUGAAACAAUACUGAGAAAAGCUAAGAAAAAUAUGUAUCUAGGAUCAUUUCCUUUAUUUGCAUGUUUUCAAAAUGUCUUUUAAUAAAAUAAAAAAAAUUAAAAUACACGAAGACAUUGUCAAGUCUCCUAAUGCAUGUAAAUUUCUAGGCAAAGGUAAAUACUGACAAACCCUUGUUGUACCCAGACCAUCCAAUUACAAGUAAAAUCUUAGUUAAAUAAUUGUAGAACUCUUUAAAGGUCACAAAGGUGUAGAAUAUAUGAGUUAGGUGAAUCUCUAAUGAUAAUGAAAACAACUGAAUGGAAAGGUCAGGUGUCCUGGAUUCAAACAUAACCUAGUUCAAAUCCUGGCCUCGUUGCUGAGCAGCUGACUUGGGGCAGGCAAGUAGAUUAACCUCAGCCUCCUAAUCUAUAAAAUGGAGAUAUGAUAGUACCUACCUUUUUUUUUUCUUUCCUGAGCAUGUUCCUUCAGAGAUGCGUUGUGAGCUACUUUAUUACAAUGAAAUGAACUGUUUACCAAAGAGUGAAUUCUGUAAGCAAGUGUUUAGAACAUGCUUUUUUUUUUUUUUUUUUUUUUUGAGAUGGAGUUUCACUCUUGUUGCCCAGGCUAGAAUGCAGUGGCGAUCUUGGCUCACUGUAACCUCUGCCUCCCGGGUUCAAGUGAUUCUCCUGCCUCAGCCUCCCUAGUAGCUGGGACUAUAGGUGCAUGCUGCCACACCCAGCUAAUUUUUUUGUAUUUUUAGUAGAGACAGGGUUUCGACAUAUUGGCCAGGCUGGUCUUGAACUCCUGAUCUCAAGUGAUCUGCCCACCUAGGUCUCCCAAAGUGCUGGGAUUGCUGGCCUGAGCCACCGCACCCUGCCUAGAACAUGCUUUUUAAUAGUGUCUCUAACCAUCAUGUUUAGGGCCUUAGUGCUUACCUCUUAAAGAAGGGCUGCUGUUGAGGAUUCCUUGAGAUAGUGUUUGAAAAACAGAGUGCAUAGUGCAGGGAACUCAAUAAAAGUGGCUACUGUUAUCCGAUCGCUUCUCUUUCAGUGAUUGUGUUGAUACCUCAAGGCCUUUGCACAUGGUGUUCUUGCUGGCCGGAACAUUCUUCUCCCUCCUUGCCCCAGCAGCCCCACUACAAUGUACGCUCCAGCUUAAAUGUCACACCCAUGGAAAGGCCAUCUCUGACCACUUUAUCUACAUAGGACCUGAAUGCCUUGUGAUUUUCUAUUUCCAUUCUGUUUCUUUCAUAACAUUUAACACUUUUAAUUUUUUUUCCUGCUGAGGGCAAGUACCACUAAGCACAGUAUUGGGCACACAGUAGGCACCCAAAAGAUUCUGUGAAGUGAAUGGCUGAGAUAGGAAUGCCAAGUGCUUACUUACCUGGUGUAUCUGAAAGAGCCUGGACGUGAAUCUUAGGUCUAAGUAUUUGAGGUGAGUCUUCAGUUGGACGUUGUUUAGUCUGACUUGCUGUGUAUGUGUGUUUGGGAAAGCUCACUGGGAUACUAGCUGGUGUUUCAUUCCCAGCCUUAACCCUAGUCCUCUGUCUGAUCUGGGAAUGCGUCUGAAAGCUUUCCGGUAGAGAUGGAAAUGGGGCAUUUGCUGAUUAAAUUACAUACUGUUUUUGUGCGGAAGGUGGAGAGGGAACGUGUGUGUGCGCCCCUACGCUUGUGCAACACGUGGCUAUAGGCAUGGGUGUGGACGCUUUUAUCUACAUGUGCAUUAAAGGAACAAAGUCCUCUCUAAAUUGUCUGAUCCCCAGAGGGAGGCACCAAAACCAUGUCUAGUUCCCUGAUAUGACCCAAGAGCCACUCUUCCAAGCUGGAAAAAAGAACCAGAUGCUGGCAUGCAUCCUCAGAAAUAAGGCAGUGUUUCUUUGUUAGGCCAAUAUUCACCUUCUUUCCUGAAUCCCAUUAAUCUGUCAGGCUCUGCACCAUCACCAGAACAAUGCCCAGGUGUAGCCUCUGUAGCAGCCUGCAUGAAUCUGGAUGAGUUUCCCUCUGGUCUCCAAAUCAUCCCCUGUGCUGUCCAUGCCAGGGGCAGGACAGGAGCAGUGAGGUAUAUGUGGGUGUUGUGUUAUACUUUCUGGUUCCUGGUCUGGGACCCUCCUUCAGGCCACUCUAACUAGAAACCCCUCCCUACCACCUUGACCUUGAACCCACCCAGAACCAACAGCACCUUAAAGGAGAGGCUGCAAACAGAAACACAGGAAGGGGGCAGGCAGGUGACAUUCAGGAGUGAGGUGGGCCAAGUGUGAGAGAGUUGGUGGAAUGAGGACGGUGGCUGCUGUGGAGAAGCUUGGCCCAGCAGCUGACAGCUGCCCUGGGGAAAUGGGACUCUGGGAGCAAGUUGUCAGCCCUUGAAGGUUUUCUACAGAAAAAUGUGGGUGUUUAGCUGUCAUCUCCCAGUUCCAACUGUUAGUGACCAUGUGAAAAAAAUUGUUUUGAACAUAUUCAAACCAAACAACAAUAACCCCACAUAUCUGAGGGCCAGAUUUGGCCUGUGGCCACCGGUUUGCCACCUCUGCUUUAAGGUCAUUAAUAUUUUAAUGUAAUGUUAAUCGGUUGCCUUAACAGACUUAGAGUCCCUUCAUUAAAGUGCAAAAUUAAUAGAAAUGUAGUUAUAUGCCAUCAAGCUAUAACUACAGAGUUGAUAGGGGCAUGGAGUGGGAUCUUCCACUUUUACUUACUACACUUAUAUUUUUA
rnacentral:lncRNA from 1 species